rnacentral:rRNA from 1 species
UCCAGAGAUGGAUUGGUGCCUUCGGGAACUGUGAGACAGGUGCUGCAUGGCUGUCGUCAGCUCGUGUUGUGAAAUGUUGGGUUAAGUCCCGCAACGAGCGCAACCCUUAUCCUUUGUUGCCAGCGGUCCGGCCGGGAACUCAAAGGAGACUGCCAGUGAUAAACUGGAGGAAGGUGGGGAUGACGUCAAGUCAUCAUGGCCCUUACGACCAGGGCUACACACGUGCUACAAUGGCAUAUACAAAGAGAAGCGACCUCGCGAGAGCAAGCGGACCUCAUAAAGUAUGUCGUAGUCCGGAUUGGAGUCUGCAACUCGACUCCAUGAAGUCGGAAUCGCUAGUAAUCGUAGAUCAGAAUGCUACGGUGAAUACGUUCCCGGGCCUUGUACACACCGCCCGUCACACCAUGGGAG